ensembl:lncRNA
UAGAGCUGCCCUGAGUGAGCUGUCAUCAGUCCACCAUUGUUUCAAACGCCAGAGCUGGUGUUGACAAGAAUGUCUCCUACACUGUUAAAAAUUGCUGUUAAUUUACGUCAAAAUUUUAACAGUAUAAUCCUGUUAUGUUAAAAAACAGUGCAUUACUGUUUUUUACGGUUGGUGAAAUGACGUAGAUAAAAUUUAACGUUAUUUUACCGUAUUUAUUGCACAAAGGAAAGAAAACAGUACUUAACAGUAUUUUGGGAACAGAAAGCUGCAGCGAGCACAUGUGGAUUUUCAUCCGUCUUUAUAUUGUGAUUUAACUGGUGAGUACACCUUUGCCUCGCUCCUUUUACACAAAAUACACGUUUGCAAUUGCAAAUAACUGUGCAAAUAACUGUGAUAAUAGUGGAUGCUGAGAUUGUAACUUUUAUACGUCCAUUUCAGUGCUAAACCCGUCAACGUGUCAACGGCGUCAUAGAGUGGAGCUGGAUUGAUUCAGAUAUUCCCCGAUUACAAGGCGCUUCCUUGGAAUAAAUCCUGAAAAAGGCACCAAGGGUGGACAAGUCCUAUCAAAGCGGACAGGGAAGGUCGGCCACAAAAUGAAAUCAGUCAACACUCGGGUUGCCAGUCUACUUAAGAAACUAAUGGACUUAGAGUGAGACUUCAUAUAAGUGAACUCACUCAUCCACUGACAUACCACACACACACACACCAUACACAUACUUUCACACAUGACAAAAACAUGCUUUUCAUUUGUUAGUCGCACAAUUUUUUUAUAAUGUUAUGUAAAUGUUUUGUUUAUUCAGUUAAACGAAAGUUUAUUCUGAGGCUUACGUUUUAGUCAUUCCACUUGAAUCAGCCACUAAUUUUGAGAAUAUUUUGUGAUUAAAGUGGCUUUGGUUUUUCACAUUUUCAAGUUUUAAUAAAGCACUUUUUGAAGUUACACUGCAUUGUGUUAAAUUUUUAAUGUUUCAAAGGCUAUAUUUGUACAUUGUAUUAAAACAUGGUUUUAUAGCAAGACUUCUAAGGGGAAAUUUAUAAAAUCAAAAAAAAAUCUAGAAAAAUAAUUCCACCUUUUUUUCUUAACAGUCCAUUUCUCAAUAUAAUAACAUGUUUGUAGUUUACAGUUAAAAGUGAAAAAAAAACAUUAAUUAACUGUUGCUUUUGACAGUAAUUUACUGUUAAUGUAUAAAAUAACAGCUUUAUGCUGUAUUUCCAAAAACAGUAACAAACUGUAAAUUUCAACAACAGCAAGACACUGUUAAUUUAACAGUAACUUGCUGGCAACCGUGCUGCCAGUUACUUACCGUUUUUUAACGGGACAAUUUUUAACAGUGUAAGCGAUUGAGGUGUUUUGUUGCUGGAUGUAAUAAUGAUCAUAGCAGUCAUCAUUUACUCCCGACAUCUGAGCGCCUGAAGACGCAGUGGAUA